GGUCAGCAUCGGGGGUAUGGAAACCUGCAAUUGUAAUAUGUAAUUAUCUUGUUCUAAUUUUGCAGAGGGGCUGACUUUUUAUACCCAGGAAUUGAAAAAUUGAGGAGCAGUAGGUGUAUAGUAGUAGCAAAUUUUGCUCUCGUGCAUGAGUGUGGAGGUGUUUCCUAAAAAAACGGAAGGGUGGAGAGGAGGGACCUGCGCAUGCGCAGUAUUCAAAAACAGACAAGUAGGCGCUGGUUUCUGAGCUGUCAGAAAAAUAGUCUGUAAUGCCUUUAAUACUCUUUAAUAUGUGCAGGUUCGAUUCCACAUCCGGCCGUCCCUCUGUGGAGUUUGCAUGUUCUCCCCGUGUCUGCGUGGGUUUUCCCCAGGAACUCUGGUUUCCUCCCACAUCCCAAAAACAUGCAUAGUGGGUGGGACUUCUGGAAUAGGCUCUGCAUGCCAGUGACCCCCGUGGGGACAAGAGGGGGAGGACAAGGCAACUUCUUUGAUGGCAGUGCAGCAGAAGAUCACAAGUCCUCCCAUGGGAAAUUUACAGCCUACAAAGAGAGGACACGACCACUCCUGAAUUAUCAACGCAGCAGGGCCUAGCUGACCAGCUUCUCACACAAUUAGAUCCAUGGCUGCCAACAAUAAAGAACACACAAACAGCAAGGACUGCCCUUUUGAUUAAAUGUACUGUAUAAAGUCUGGGUCAGAGAAAUGCAUUUUUCAUCACUCUGUUUGCUACCUUCGCGGUUAGAGACAGCUGUGACCUGGAGCUCCGCUUAGAUAAUUAGCACAGACAAUUUUGGUAGGAUUAUAAUACUUUGUUGUGUCGCUGAUGCAAUAGACAAGUGCAUGUGCAACCACUGAAUUUGUCUUUUUAGAGCUUUUUUUAGACAGGUUUGAGUGUACAAUUAGUAGCCGGACAUAAAAUAAUGGUAACAUACAGAUUUGAAAAGAAAUAACUAAGACUUAAACCUCACAAUUGGAAGUAGUCACUGAUUCCUUGUGUAAGAAUAGGGGAAUGAUAUAAGGUCUCUGUGUGAGUAGCGGCCACACCAGUUCUGAGCCAUCUCCUCUGCUGCUUUACUUGGCAAUUUCGUGUUGUGAUGGUUGAACAAAAAAGUUAAUUUCUGUGUUCUCAACAACUAAUACUCAAUGUUUAUCACAUACAUGAAGCAGAUUUCCAUCCAUCCAUUUUCUGAACUACUUUUCCUCACCAGGGUCGCAAGCGUUUUUUUGGAAUUUUGGAUUUUCUUUCAAAUGUAACAACCAAAGAACCUGUAUCUUACAGGAAUGGAAUAAAACACAUUCAUAUUGCCACCAUCAAUUGAUUUGUGUGACUCCUGGCUGGUCCCAAGACAGUGCCAACUCAAGAACAUUUCUUUUUACAAUUACAAUCAUAGCCACUUCAGCCAACAACAGAUCACCCAAAUGUAUUCUACACAGUCAAAUACAUAUGACUUUUAACCACAAACUUUUCAUUGAACUACAUUCAAAUGAAUGGAUGGAGUAAUAAAAGAACAACUAGAAAGGUUGCAGGUGGUCCUCAGUCCUUGUGUGACACUUUUCGAGACAAUCAAGCAAUCAAUCACCAAAACUUUAUUCAUACAGAAUUUUUUAUCCGAAUAAAACAAUCCAAAUUGUCUUACUGACCUGUUGUCUGUUGAAUGGGUAGCAGCAGUAUUUUAUUUAAACCAUUUUAAGACAAUUUGGAUUGUAUUUUGUGUGAUGGCCGGGUUUGUAGACAAUCUUUUUGGGGUAUGCUAAAACCUGAUUAUAGAAUCUUUUUGGGGUAUGGUCAAACCUGAUUAUUGUGAAAACACACACACAAUGGCAAACAAUUCAUCUGACACAAAAUCUCUUGUUCAUCUAAAUUUAAUGCGGAAAUCACCACACAUGCAUGCGCACUCUCACACACACACACACACAAACACACACACAUACUCACACUGGCAAACAAUUCACUCGACACAAAAUCUCAUGUUCAUGUAAAUUUAUUGCAAAAUCACAGAGUUUGCUGUUGAAUUCACAGCUGCAAUUCUGAUGCCCAAUGGCUCCUUCGUUACUUUGACAAAAGGCUUCCU